GGAGAAUGACUCGUGAAGAGUUCCGUCGAAAAGCUGAGCGACACCCGCGUCAAGCUCAACGUUGAGGUUCCUUU
rnacentral:tRNA from 1 species